CACAACAUCACGUGCGUCGCACGCCAUGGCCGAACUUCCACUCCUGUUAGGAACCUCCCGUGUGGCAGGUUUUAGAUGCCACGGGUUAGGUUGGAGGCAGCAUCUGGAGUCCAGUUCCUCGGGUUCAAACCCCAGGUCCAGACUCAUCAUCCUCCACGGGCCUGCGCAUUUCAUACCCUCUGGGUGCCUCAGUUUCCCCAUCCUUAAACGAGAGAAGUUCAAAGCCAGCGCACAAGUGACCCAGGGACAGCUAAUCAGCCAAUUUCCUUUACGGACUGGUUUUGAGAAGGACAGAUCAAGAAAAAAGAAGUUAUGAAACAGCACUAAAGCACUUUUGAUGGGACGAUUCUAGAAUGGGCAGACGAGCCUGCAAAAUCCGAUGUGAAAUCUUCCAAACAUUCAGCACAUCAGAGGGAUUCCCGCAUUGGCGGGACGCUUCCCAGCGGCCUGUGGCCUCUGUCACAGACCACAAGGCCAGGAGGUGACGGGCCCUGCCGCGUGUGCCUCCCUCCUGCGCUGCCUUUGUCCUUGCCGCGUUCCCACUGCGUUGAUUAUGUGACACUCCCGCCAGGCUUGCUUUCUGCAGUCGGUCGCCUGUUUCUAGGGAAGGAGCCCUAAUCACUUCAAAGGAACAAGAGCAGCCGCCGUCCAUACUUGGCAGUGAAUGAGCACAAACGUCUCCAUUUGGUGACAGGGCAGAAGUGAUCCUUCAAAACAUCCUCACUGGCAUUUUCCCUCCACAGGCUGGCAAUACUCCCUGCUGCUGAGAUGCGUCGUCCUUGCCUUCACGCUGGGGUUGGUGCCUUUGUGGCAGAUCUCCUGUCUGUACCAACUGUCCUCGUCCCCCACCGCCCCGCCCCCAGGUGACGGCGGACGAUACGCAGAGCUCAGCUGUAGAUCUCACUCCGCUGUCAGCCUUUAUUUACUAUUUUUUUUCUUUUUGUUCUUGGAGAGAAGCAAACCACAUCGUCAAAGCAUUUAAAAACACAAACCAAAGGAAGCUGGGUUUCCAGGCUUUAAGUAGAUGCUAUUUACCCACAGUUUAUUUCCAGGAGUCGCUUGGAAACCAUUGUCAUUUUGCACUCGGAUUCAGCGAGAAGCCUAGCGUUUGGAGUGGUACCAGUGAUCUGUAUUUGCCUCUUGCCAACGGGA
ensembl:lncRNA